rnacentral:rRNA from 1 species
CGCGUAGGUGGUUGUGUAAGUCAGAUGUGAAAUCCCGAGGCUCAACUUCGGAACUGCAUCUGAAACUGCAUGACUCGAGUACAGCAGAGGGAAACGGAAUUCCUGGUGUAGAGGUGAAAUUCGUAGAUAUCAGGAGGAACACCGGUGGCGAAGGCGGUUUCCUGGGCUGAUACUGACACUGAGGCGCGAAAGCGUGGGGAGCAAACA